rnacentral:lncRNA from 1 species
ACCUCUGCCUCCCAUCAGGGGUGAAUAAGGCGGAAGCUGAGGGGACAGUCACAGCCAGGACAGGAAUGUCACCCCCAGCUGGCAGACAGCACUCUGAGCAGCCAGGCCUGGGAUCCUCUGACCUGCCCACUUCAGGAGGCCAGUGUGGUCACUGCCACCCCACGGUCUGGGGACCCUGGACUCCAAACUUGCAGAAUGAAUCUUUGGUGAUGAAAGUGAGAAUCUGGGAGAGAUGUGAAAACUGGAAGAGAAACAGGAAGUACCUCCAGGAUUCACCUAAAUAGAUGCUGCGGUUUCUAUCAAACCACAGGCCACCCCAGCAUCUCAGUGGCUUCUAUAGGUUGUCCUGAAAGAGCCAUGAGGCCAGGGCCCUUGAUGGAUUCCCAGAUACCAGCUGCUCCUCCAGACACCAAUUCCACCCUCCACCUUUCUGUGUCCGUCCCAGACCAAGGCAGCCCAGGACUGGUAUCCUUCUAAGAAGAGGAAGGCACAUCAGAGGAGAGGCCAUGUGAGGACACCAUGGGAAGGCGGCCACCUGCAAGCCAAGGAGAGGGGCCUCAGGAGAAACCAGCCCUGCUGACACCCUGAGCUCCUUGCAAUUCCAGCCUCCUAGACUGUGAGAAAAUACACUUGUGUUAUUUAAGCCCCCCAGUCUGUGGUUCUUUGCUGUGGCAGCCCUAAGAAUCUAAUACACAUGCCAACCUGUCUAGGCACAGAUGGCCCAUCUUCAGGGAAAGGAUGCAGGGGGAUCUGCAGGCCUGCCGGGGCUGAACCAGGAAGUUGUGCCCUCAGCAGUGGAGGCAGCCUCUCCCAACCCCAAGCCUCCAGCCCCUCCCCUCGUGACAUGCAUGUUCUGAGUUCAGUCUGUUUCCAAGCUCCUUCCCGUGCCUGUGGAGUCAAUGUCACCCCCAGUCUCAGGGUAUCCUUGCACUGAUACGCUCCACUACACCCUCACACCCACCCCGUGGCUUCCUGAACUGCACCCCCAAGUGAACCACUCUGCAUCUGGCUUCUCCAUCAACCACGUGCCCUGGAGUCCCUCUGAGCUGUCCAUGUGGGCAGCCUCCUUUUGAAGCCUGGAGUGGGUGAGUGUUGAGCAAAAGGUGAUGGCAGGGGCUAGAGCUCAUUUCAUUCCUGAGUAAGGGAAGCUCUAAGAUUCCUUCUGUACCAUAAGUGAGUGCUGCCCUGCCUGGGAGGGUGCACACCCUGCCCUGAGACUACUGCCUCAGAGCAUGGGCAGCUGGUCAACCUAGGCAUUGCCCAUGCCUCCCACAUGGGUGGGGGGCAGCCCCACCGCCCCUCUGUUCAUCUUCCAUUGACCUGUGGAGUCUCAGAGAUCUGUCUUGAUUUUUUUUAGACAGUCUUGCUCUGUCACCCUGGAGUACAGCGGUGCAAUCUCUGCUCAUUGCAACCUCUUCCUCCCAGGUUCAAGUGAUUAUCGUGCGCCAGCCUUCCAAUUAGCUGGGAUCACAAGCAUGCACCACCAUGCCCUGCUAAUUUUUGUAUUUUUAGUAGAGACAGGGUUUCGCCAUGUUGGCCAGGGUGGUCUCAAACUCCUAACCUCAAGUGAUCCACCUGCCUCGGCCUCCCAAAGUGCUGGGAUUGCAGGUGUGAGCCACCACACCCAACCUGUCUUGAUUUAAUAGUCAUUCAAGGUGCUCAUUUCUUGACUGAAUGACUACAAGAGCAGAUAUAAAUGAACACAUGCAAUCAGUCUUGCCCUGGGUCUGAAGUAGGAUUCUCAGCACCAGCGACAUUUGCACUGGAUCAUUCUCUGCGGUGGCACUAGCCUCUGCCCUGCAGGACGUUUAGCAGUACCCCUGGACCCCACCCACUAGACGCCAGCAACAGUUCCCUGCCCCAGUUGUGACAACCAAAAAUGUCCUCGGACAUUACUCCAAGCACCAAGGUUGGGAACCGCUGUUCUCAAGGUUUCCAAAUGCAUCUCACGCCAUAGGUCUAUGCACAGAAUAAAUGAAUCAUUCACUGUUGACCAAUGAAGGCUUUGUUUGGAGACAGGUGUUAUAACAGCAGGAAGAAAACUCCCCAAAGGAAAAGUGUGCUAUCAGCUGAAGCAUCUCCCAAGUCCAGCUCUGCACCCCCACGUGCAUCCCCACACGAACGUGUUGCCAGGAAUCAACCGAACCCCUGUUUCUCUCGCAGAAAAUUGGUGGGAGCAAUCCUCGCUUGCGUGUCAGGAUGCCUGUCCAGCUGCUGCGCUCAGCCUUGAACACCCUCCCGACCUUGGGGCUCUGCUGCCCCACGCGGAGCCCCCAUUUCAACAGAUGCAGACACCCCAAAGCCCCUUCCCAACAGCCCGAAGAGAAGCCCUCCUCUGAAGAGACAGCAGAGAAGCAGAGCCCCCUGGGACGCCCCCCAAGACCUCCACGUCUCCCCAGCACCCGGCGGGGGGGUGGUGCAUGCACUUCCCGUGGCUGCGGGAACAAACUGCCACACACAGGGAGGCUGAACACAGCAGAAGUCUAUUCCACACAGUCCUAGAAGCCAGAGGCAGUGACAUCAAGGUGCUGGACGGCCGCCCUCCCAUCGGAGGCUCUGGGAAGAAUCUGUUCCUUCCUCUUCCAGCUUCCACGACUCAGGGCAGCACCCCUGUAACCUCUGCCUCCAUGGUGAUAUCGCUUCCCCUCUUCUGUGUCAAAUGUCCCCCUGCGUCCCUCUUCACCAGAAUAAUCCCCUCAUCUCAAGUGCCUUAAUUUAAUCACACCUGCAAAGUGUUUGCCGCGUAAAGUAACAAUUACAGUUUCCAGAGAUUAAAACCUGUUAUGUUUGGAGGCCAUUAUUCUACCUACAGAGAGGGGUUGGCUUAGGACACCCAUUCUUGUUGCCGGGUAAAGCUGCCCGGGGGGCCUGGAGGAAGCCUGCUCUGUCUCUUUCAGCCCCCACAGGUACCCCAAGGGGGCCGCCACUGAGGUCCUCGGGCUCUGAUCCAAGUGUGAAGUGAGAGCAAGUUCACUCCUUUCCCUGCUGGCUCUGACACAAGUUUUCCGUGUGGCCAGGGAUGGGUGUGAGCAGCCCAGAGCAGGGGCCGGCCCA